UACAGAGGGUGCGAGCGUUAAUCGGAAUUACUGGGCGUAAAGCGUGCGUAGACGGUGGCGUAAGUCGGGUGUGAAAGCCCCGGGCUCAACCUGGGAACUGCAUUUGAGACUGCUCUGCUCGGGUGCGGAAGAGGGAAGCGGAAUUUCCGGUGUAGCGGUGAAAUGCGUAGAUAUCGGAAGGAACACCAGUGGCGAAAGCGGCUUCCUGGUCCGACACCGACGUUCAGGCACGAAAGCGUGGGGAGCAAACAGG
rnacentral:rRNA from 1 species